rnacentral:rRNA from 1 species
UACGAAGGGGGCGAGCGUUGUUCGGAAUCACUGGGCGUAAAGAGUGCGUAGGCGGUUAUGAAAGUUAGGAGUGAAAGCCCAGGGCUCAACCUUGGAAUUGCUUUUAAAACUACAUAACUCGAAUUCGGGAGAGGAUAGCGGAAUUGUCAGUGUAGCAGUGAAAUGCGUAGAUAUUGAUAGGAACACCGGUGGCGUAAGCGGCUAUCUGGACCGACAUUGACGCUGAGGCACGAAAGCGUGGGGAUCAAACAGG